rnacentral:rRNA from 1 species
GGUCUUCGGAUUGUAAACCGCUGUGGUAGAGGGAGAAAACCGUGCAGAGUGGAAAGCUGCGCGGGGGGACGGUACUCUACUAGGAAGCCCCGGCUAACUACGUGCCAGCAGCCGCGGUAACACGUAGGGGGCGAGCGUUGCCCGGAAUCACUGGGCGUAAAGGGAGCGUAGGCGGCCUGCCAAGUCUACUGUGAAAAGCCAGAGCUCAACUCUGGUCUUGCGGUAGAAACUGGCAGGCUUGAGGCUGGUAGAGGAAGACGGAACAGCUAGUGUAGGGGUAAAAUCCUUAGAUAUUAGCUGGAACGCCGGUGACGAAGGUGGUUUUCUGGGCCAGACCUGACGCUGAGGCUCGAAAGCCAGGGGAGCGAACGGGAUUAGAUACCCCGGUAGUCCUGGCCCUAAACGAUGCUCACUAG